rnacentral:rRNA from 1 species
AUUGAACGCUGGCGGCAUGCUUUACACAUGCAAGUCGAACGGUAACAGGCCUGCGGGUGCUGACGAGUGGCGAACGGGUGAGUAAUGCACCGGAACGCGCCCAGCGGCGGGGGAUAACGCAGCCAAAGCUGUGCUAAUAUCGCACGUGAUCCGAGGAUGAAAGCCGGGGACCCGGCAGCAAAGUUUGGCCUCGUGCCUUUGGAGCGGCCGAUGUUGGAUUAGUUAGUUGGGGGGGUAAAGGCCUACCAAGCCGACGAUCUGUAGCUGGUCUGAGAGGACGAUCGGCCGCACUGGAGCUGGGACACGGCCACGACUCCUGCGAGAGGCACCAGUCGGGAAUUUUAGGCAGUAGGCGCGAAUCUGGUCCAGCAAUGCCGCGUGCGAGAAGGAGACCUUCGGGUUGUGAACCGGUUUUGUACGGAGCGAAAAGGCUCUGGCUAAUACCUGGCGCUGGUGACGGUACCGUAAGAAUAAGCACCGGCUAACUACGUG